rnacentral:rRNA from 1 species
GAUGAACGCUGGCGGCGUGCCUAAUACAUGCAAGUCGAGCGAACGGACGAGAAGCUUGCUUCUCUGAUGUUAGCGGCGGACGGGUGAGUAACACGUGGAUAACCUACCUAUAAGACUGGGAUAACUUCGGGAAACCGUAGCUAAUACCGGAUAAUAUUUUGAACCGCAUGGUUCAAAAGUGAAAGACGGUCUUGCUGUCACUUAUAGAUGGAUCCGCGCUGCAUUAGCUAGUUGGUAAGGUAACGGCUUACCAAGGCAACGAUGCAUAGCCGACCUGAGAGGGUGAUCGGCCACACUGGAACUGAGACACGGUCCAGACUCCUACGGGAGGCAGCAGUAGGGAAUCUUCCGCAAUGGGCGAAAGCCUGACGGAGCAACGCCGCGUGAGUGAUGAAGGUCUUCGGAUCUUAAAACUCUGUUAUUAGGGAAGAACAUAUGUGUAAGUAACUGUGCACAUCUUGACGGUACCUAAUCAGGAAGCCACGGCUAACUACGUG